GUACUACUGAAGAGUCCCAAACUAGGACGAAAAGCUGUCCAGUAC
rnacentral:hammerhead_ribozyme from 1 species